rnacentral:rRNA from 1 species
UACGUAGGGUGCGAGCGUUGUCCGGAAUUACUGGGCGUAAAGAGCUUGUAGGCGGUUUGUCGCGUCGUCUGUGAAAACUCACAGCUCAACUGUGAGCUUGCAGGCGAUACGGGCAGACUUGAGUACUGCAGGGGAGACUGGAAUUCCCGGUGUAGCGGUGAAAUGUGUAGAGAUCGGGAAGAACAUCGGUGGCGAAGGCGGUCUGCUGGGCCGUUGCUGACGCUGAGGCGCGACAGCGUGGGGAGCAAACGGG